GACGAACGCUGGCGGCGUGCUUAACACAUGCAAGUCGAACGGAAAGGCCCUGCUUUUGUUGGGUGCUCGAGUGGCGAACGGGUGAGUAACACGUGAGUAACCUGCCCUUGACUUUGGGAUAACUUCAGGAAACUGGGGCUCAUACCGGGUAGGAGCUCCUGCUGCAUGGUGGGGGUUGGAAAGUUUCGGCGGUGGGGGAUGGACUCGCGGCUUAUCAGCUUGCUGGUGUGGUAGUUGCUUACCAGGGGUUUGACGGGUAGCCGGCCUGAGAGGGUUAACGGGGACAUUGGGCCUGAGAUAGGGACCAGACUGCUACGGGCGGCAGUAGUGGGAAAUAUUGCAGAAUGGGCGGAAGCCAGAUGCAGAGGCGCCGGGAGCGGGAUGCCGGCUUUCGGGUGGUGAACAGAUGUGGAAUGUGACGAAGAGUGAGUGACGGUAAUGAGUAAAAAAGCAACGGCUAACUACGUG
rnacentral:rRNA from 1 species